UACGAAGGGGGCUAGCGUUGCUCGGAAUCACUGGGCGUAAAGCGCACGUAGGCGGCUUUCUAAGUCAGGGGUGAAAUCCUGGAGCUCAACUCCAGAACUGCCUUUGAUACUGAGAAGCUUGAGUCCGGGAGAGGUGAGUGGAACUGCGAGUGUAGAGGUGAAAUUCGUAGAUAUUCGCAAGAACACCAGUGGCGAAGGCGGCUCACUGGCCCGGUACUGACGCUGAGGUGCGAAAGCGUGGGGGGCAAACAGG
rnacentral:rRNA from 1 species